GCUGGGUGCAGUGGUGCACACCUGUAAUACCAGUGGCUCAGGAGGCUGAGGCAGGAGGAUCAUGAGUUCAAAGCCAGCCUCAGCAAAAGCAAGGAGCUAAGCAAUUCAGUGAGACCCUGUCUCUA
rnacentral:sRNA from 1 species